rnacentral:rRNA from 1 species
GGACUACUGGGGUUUCUAAUCCUGUUUGCUCCCCUAGCUUUCGCGCCUCAGCGUCAGGUUUGACCCAGAAAACCGUCUUCACCACUGGUGUUCUUCCACAUAUCUACGCAUUUCACCGCUACACGUGGAAUUCCGUUUUCCCUAAUCAUCCUCUAGCCAAGAAGUUUCAAAUGCAGCUUCGGAGUUGAGCCCCGAAAUUUCACAUCUGACUUUCUCGGCCGCCUACGCGCCCUUUACGCCCAGUAAUUCCGAUCAAUGCUUGCACCCUCCGUAUUACCGCGGCUGCUGGCAC